AACGACAAAGGCCAUUUAGCCCAAAGCAAAAUCCCUAAAAACCUAUACUAUACUCUGACUUCCUCACUCCCGCCGCCGCCACCCCUUCCCCACUUUUCCAUUCCGUUCUUUAAUCACGGCUAACUAAGAAGAUCGAGAACAACAAAAAAUAACCCCAUCGCUUCUCUAUUCUUGGACAGAAGAGGUAAACUCAUAUUUUUAUAUUUUGGGGUUUGCAAAUUUUUUUAUACUACUUCACUUGGGUUUCUGGGUACAAUUUUGCGGAUUAUUUCAGCAAUUUAAUAAAUAUUGUAUCUUAUUUUUUAUAAGUAGUGAUUGAGAAUUUAAAGAUUUUAAAGUUAUAAUGUUGGGAGGAGGCAUAGUUCAACAUUUUUACUAAUCGAACUUACAUCUUUGUGUUAAUUUCAACUCAGUUGUGCCUGUUAAAUUAAACAUAUAUGAUCAGUUAUUUUUGUUUCGUGGUGUUAACAUACUUUUAUAUUGACAGGUAGAUUGGUGGAGUUAGAGCAGCAAUGACAAGUUAACACCAAGAUGGUGCAGUUGAAGACUCGAUGACAGUGUCUCAAGCAAGAUGGUGUUGUAGAAGAAAUUAUGUACUAUGUAACUUGAAACCUAUUGUGGAAUGUAAAUUCUUUUUAUUCUUAUCUACUUUAUUAAAAUCCUUAUGUGUAAAUUGGAAUUUGUUUUGGAAUCUAAAAUAUUUGGAAUUUUAGCUAUUAUGAAAAUUAUUGUGACUAGUUAUUCUUGUAGCAAAUUCUUCAAUUUGUGGCAAUAUAUAUAUAUCACGUAAUAUAGUUAUACAUUCUCACUUUUCGUAGCAAA
rnacentral:lncRNA from 1 species